rnacentral:lncRNA from 1 species
GCUCUAGGUGAUUCUAAUUGAAGCCAAGCCUGGGAAACACUGAACUAUUUUAUUGACUCUCUUAAUAACACAAAAACAAUAAGAUAGUUAAUAUUCUCUUUUCAAAAUAAAUGACUAAAAUGUUACACUGAAUUAGUGUGUUUUACACAGGGAUUUAGAUGAGUUUUGACUUCUCAAUCUUAGAUUGAACUCUAAUUUGAAUUUUUUUUUAAAGACUUUAUUUAGUCAUGAGAGACACACACACAGAAAGAGGCAGAGACACAGGCAGAGGGAGAAGCAGGCUCCAUGCAGGGAGCCUGAUGUGGGACUCCAGGAUCACGCCCAGGGCUGAGGGCGGUGCUAAACCGCUAAGCCACCUGGACUGCCCUCCAAUUUGAAUUUUAAAGCCAAACAUUAGUUAUUAUUUUUAACCUUUUAGGCAAUUUAUAUACCACAUAAACUAUGUAUUUAGGUUAUAACUAUAAAACAAUUACAUUAAAAUUUUAGAUUAUAGAAAAAUAGCAUUUUAUACUUAAAAGUAAAAAUUUAAAAAAGACUGAGCUUAAAAGGAAAGUUUCUAUUCUUUUUCCAGUUUUUAUCUCUUCUUAUUGUGUUCUUCGGCAUUAACAGAAUUAAUAGAAUUCUGUUUUCAUCAGUUACAAUGAAAUGGUGGCAAUUACCACUGUGCUAAGGAAUUUCCAAGACUGUGAGAAAUCAUUUAGCUUUAAGACCUAUAAAAUGCAAGACAAGAGGCUUAUAUUUUAAUUAACUCUACCUUUCUUCCUUCGAUAUUUAAAAAUAACUCUUAAUUUCUGGACUAUGACUUAACUGGUAGAAUUGACAGUAUAUACUGAAGAUAAAAUAAUUAUUCUUUUAUAUAAGCGAAGCAUGAACACUGAAAUAAAAAUAUAGUGGAGUUUGGGGAUAUGAUUUCACCAUUUGGAAAUAUAAAAUAUAUAUAUCUUAUUUUGAAGAUUCAGAUAUGUCCUUUUAUUAGAGAAUUGCGAUUAUCUGAAAGAUCAUGUUCAUUGUAAGGAUUAUCUAAGUACGUGGGAAUUUGUGUUUAAUACCAUGGUGUGUUUUGACCUUAACACACAACAUACAAUCAGCAAUAUAGACAAGAUCUUUUAUUUCAAUUUAUACUUAAAAUCUUUGGAGCCUGUUAACAUUCUUGAUACUUUUGGAUAAGACACUAACAUUUUCUGAUGCCAUGACUGGGAAUAAAUCCUGUAUGAAGCAUUCCAGGUAAGUAGAAAAAAGUGAGCUGACUUUAGAUAUUAUACUGAGACAAGAUUCUUCACUGUCAGUAAACUUUUUAGUAUUGUAAUAAAACAAUUAAUUAUAACUGUUAUUUUUAGAAAUGCAUUUAUCUACAAAAUUCAAAAUGAUGCAACUUUCUGGGCAUUUUUAAAUUUUCCACUUUUUUGCCAUAUCUAUGUGACUAUUUCUCAUUUUACAUACAAAUAGAAGAUGGGCAGUAUCUCUCACUUCAACAAUUAGAUCUUUUACAUACUCAAAAAAUUAGUUUAAAUUUCUCUAAUAAGUAGUCCUAGUGUGUUAUAUAUAAAUGUUAAUGAGGAAAACUCCACUUUGCUAAGAUCUUUCAUAUAGGCAAUUACUAGACAUAUGCAUGUGUUUUACAUAUACAUGCAAUUACAUAUAGGCACGAACACAGAAACACACAGCCUCCCCUCUACCAUGUUAUUUUAGACAUAAAAUGAUGGAGUAGAACAAUAAUGCUUCAGCUUCAGUUCUACUGUGUUCAUUACCAACUUUGAGAAUCCACUUUGUAUAUACUUCCCAAAAUAUUUAUAGAUGUAUUUUUCUGUAAAAUUGAGGACUUCUGGAUUGUCCUGAGACAAAAAGAAACUCUUGUUAAUCCUUUCCUAUGAUGUAUUCCCUAGUGUCCAUAAAUCACUACCUAGGGGCAAAAAACCCUAAGUAAGGCAUAAUGUGUUUCUGAAGAAGAGGCAAAGAUCAUGUAAGAGCCUUGGUAGUGGGUGGAAUGACCAUACAGACAUGUGUGAGCUUGUUUGAAACUGAGAUCCCAGUCACACUUCCAGCAUUUCAAUGACAUAGAAUACUUAGAAAAAAAGUGAAAAACUCAAUUGUAAGAAAAAAAUUUUGGAUAGUGUUUCACAAACUGAGUUUCAUGGAUUAAUACUGCUCAAUGUAUUGCUCCUUAGAUUCCUUGAGGAUUUCAGGACCAGAUGAUUUUAAAAAAAAAAAAACUUAUCUAUUUAUUUGAGAGCGAGUGUUUGAUCACAAGCAGGAGGAGAUAGGGAGAGAAAGAAAGAAAGAAGAGAGAGAGAGUGAAUCAGACACCCUGCUGAGGAGCCCCAACACGGGAAUAGAUCUAAUGAUUAUGGAUCUAUUAUGAUUAUGGCCUUAGGAUCAUGACCUAAGCCAAAACCAAGAGUCAGCCACUCAACCAACUGAGCCAUCCAGGAGGCCCCCAGGGCCAGGUAAUUUUAGAAACAGUGUAAUAUAACCCUUGGAAUUUUGCAGUGUAUUCUCUGAAAUUCUACAAUAAAAAAAAAAAAUCUGUUACUUUGUUUAAUCUAGCAUCUCUCAGGUAUAAUUAAACUUAGAACUAAUUUUUCCCCCAUCAAAUAAGAACUGUUGAAUGCAGAUUAUAAAAUGCUGUAUUUGAUCGCUAGAUAUACAAUUGGUAAAACUGUUGUGUGAAGACUAAAGAUUGAGAGAUUGCAUAUAUAAAGACCUAGAAAUUUAUGCUGCUUUGACAAUGGGAUGAAAUAGUCCCAUAGAUCAGAGUAGAACUUUAACUAGAAUUUGAUUUAAAAGUAUACUGCUAUUCUUUUUUUUUAAGAUUUUCAUUUAUUUAUUUAUUUAUUUAUGAGAGACAACAGUGAGAGAGAGAGAGAGAGUGAGAGAGAGAAAGGCAGAGACAUAGGCUGAGGGGGAAGCAGGUUCCCUGCAAGGAGCCCAAUGUGGGACUUGAUCCUGGACCCUGGGAUCACGCCCUGGGCCAAAGGCAGAUGCUCAACCGCUGAGCCACCCAGGCAUCUCAGAAUUAUACUAUUAUUCUCUAUCCAUUAUGUGUACUGGUGUAGGAGUGGAGGAGUAGUAAUACGAACAAGACACACACAUACUAACUUGGAAUCUGUUUCAGAAUUUUCUAAAUAAAGGCUUCAUGCGUGCCAAGUAAUAUAUAUAUGUAUAUAUAUAAUAUACAUAUGUGUAUAUGUAUAUAUGUACAUAUAUGUAUGUAUAACAUAUAUAAUACACUUUUAUACUUAUAUAACACAUACAAAAUAUUGUAUUUACUUUAGAGAUGAGAAACCUAUUCUUAGAAAAGUAAUUUGUUCAGAUACAGAAUUGGUGAAAUCUUUCCCUCAAUCUUUCCCUCAAUUGCCUAGUUAAAUGGAAUUUAUAUAAACUUUGAGCGUCUUAAAAGUGGGAUCCAUAUUUUUUCAACAGUCUCUUGGCUGUCUGUUACCCACCUGCAUCUUUAUUUAAAUGAAAAGGGGUGGGUUAAUUUUUUUUUCAAUUAGUCAUUUAGUUGAGGCAGCAUAACAUUGUUAAAAAUAAAAAUGGGCUUUAGACUGUGAGAUUUUGGUUCAAAAUUCACUAGCUCUAUGACUAUCAAAUCUGAAUUUAAAUUUCCUCUGUGAAGCGAACAUGAAAUAAAUCCAUUUCACCAUAUUAUUAGAAAGAUUAAAUGAGCCAAUUCAAAGUGCCAGGUACACCCUGGGCACUCAGAAUCUGAUAAUUGCUCUUGAUUUUCUUUGCAAAUAUUCCUAUGAAAAUGUAUUUUCAAUAUUAUAAAGAAGUACC